UAUAUAUUUAAAUUUAAAAUUUUAAUUAUAAAAUUUAAAAAUUUAAAUUCAAAUAUAAGGGGCACUAUCAUUCUUUUCUCUAUUUAUAACUAUCUAUUAUUAUUCUUAUUCCAUCUUUUCUAUCCAAACGCUAUUUUUCUUAUUAUCAGGAACAACUUAAUUUUCAUCCAAACGUAAAAUUUGUCUAUUUCAGGCAUAAUCCUGAACUUAUAUCUAUCAUUAAAAUAACUAGUUCUUACUUAAUUCCGAACGAAACGAAGCCAUAUAUAUAU
rnacentral:lncRNA from 1 species